rfam:Pan troglodytes isolate Yerkes chimp pedigree #C0471 (Clint) chromosome 5, whole genome shotgun sequence.
GCUGGGCGUGGUGGUGCACACCUGUAAUCCCAGCUACUGGGGAGGCUGAGGCAGGAGAAUCGCUUGAACCUGGGAGGCAGAGGUUGCAGUGAGCUGAGAUCGUGCCACUGCACUCCAGCCUGGGUGACAGAGUGAGACUCUGUCUCAA